rnacentral:rRNA from 1 species
UACAGAGGGUGCAAGCGUUGUUCGGAAUUACUGGGCGUAAAGGGCUCGUAGGCGGCCAACUAAGUCGGGUGUGAAAUCUCCGGGCUCAACUCGGAGGGGCCACCCGAUACUGCACGACUCGAGUCCGGUAGGGGAGUGGGGAAUUCCUGGUGUAGCGGUGAAAUGCGCAGAUAUCAGGAAGAACACCCGUGGCGAAGGCGGCUCUCUGGGACGUGACUGACGCUGAGACGCGAAAGCGUGGGGAGCAAACAGG